rnacentral:lncRNA from 1 species
GAGCUAAGGUGGCCGAGAGCCAAGCCAGACAGUUGGAGGAGAAACUUCAAACCAUGGACCAGACCGUCAAGUCCCUGAUGGCCUCAGAGGAGGAGUAUUCCACCAAAGAAGAGAAAUAUGAAAAGGAGAUGAAACUGCUGGAGGAGAAACUGAAGGAGGCUGAGACCAGAGCAGAGUUUGUCGAAAGGUCUGUGGCAAAGUUGGAGAAAACCACCGAUGACCUAGAAGAGACGUUGGCCAGUGCCAAGGAGGAAACGUGGAGAUUCAUCAGACCUGGGACCAGACCCUACUGGAACUCAGCAACC